rnacentral:lncRNA from 1 species
AAUACCAAAAAAAAGAAGACAGCGUUGGAUCAAGGGUAUCAUACUAAAAAUAUUAGGAAAGUAUCCCUACAAAAUUUAUUUUAGAGAUUUCUAUAAUUUUCCCUUGAAUAUCGGUGGGGCAACUGUACGGUAGAGUGCACAAGGGGUAAAGUUUGGUUUUCUUGAAUGGGCAAACAAAAGGUGUUCGUAUGGGUUUCUAAGAUGACAUAGAGAGAGAAACAAGUUAAAAACAAAAAAAAAGGCAAUGAAUAGGGAGAGAGAAGUGAUUAAGAUGUCAGGUAGGGUCGUGGAAAUUUAUGUCAUGUAAUGUUGUAACCCGAAGAAAAAGAAAUAAGCUUUGAAGAGGUAGGGCCAAUUUGUACAUAGAGUUCAAAAAGGGGAACGAAAUG